AGUGAACGCUGGCGGUAGGCCUAACACAUGCCAGUCGAACGGCAGCACAGUAAGAACUUGCUCUUACGGGUGGCGAGUGGCGGACGGGUGAGGAAUACAUCGGAAUCUACUUUUUCGUGGGGGAUAACGUAGGGAAACUUACGCUAAUACCGCAUACGACCUACGGGUGAAAGCAGGGGAUCUUCGGACCUUGCGCGAUUGAAUGAGCCGAUGUCGGAUUAGCUAGUUGGCGGGGUAAAGGCCCACCAAGGCGACGAUCCGUAGCUGGUCUGAGAGGAUGAUCAGCCACACUGGAACUGAGACACGGUCCAGACUCCUACGGGAGGCAGCAGUGGGGAAUAUUGGACAAUGGGCGCAAGCCUGAUCCAGCCAUACCGCGUGGGUGAAGAAGGCCUUCGGGUUGUAAAGCCCUUUUGUUGGGAAAGAAAAGCAGCAGGUUAAUACCCCGCUGUUCUGACGGUACCCAAAGAAUAAGCACCGGCUAACUUCGUG
rnacentral:rRNA from 1 species